CCUACGGGGGGCAGCAGUGAGGAAUAUUGGUCAAUGGGCUUACGCCUGAACCAGCCAAGUCGCGUGAGGGAAGACUGCCCUAUGGGUUGUAAACCUCUUUUGUCAGGGAGCAACGCCGGCUACGUGUAGCCGGACUGAGAGUACCUGAAGAAAAAGCAUCGGCUAACUCCGUGCCAGCAGCCGCGGGAAUACGGAGGAUGCGAGCGUUAUCCGGAUUUAUUGGGUUUAAAGGGUGCGUAGGCGGAAUGCCAAGUCAGCGGUAAAAUCGCGGGGCUCAACCUCGCUCCGCCGUUGAAACUGGCGGUCUUGAGUGGGCGAGAAGUAUGCGGAAUGCGUGGUGUAGCGGUGAAUUGCAUAGAUAUCACGCAGAACUCCGAUUGCGAAGGCAGCAUACCGGCGCCCAACUGACGCUGAAGCACGAAAGCGUGGGUAUCGAACAGGAUUAGAUACCCUGGUAGUC
rnacentral:rRNA from 1 species